UACGUAGGGGGCCAGCGUUGUCCGGAAUCAUUGGGCGUAAAGAGCGUGUAGGCGGCCCGGUAAGUCCGCUGUGAAAGUCGGGGGCUCAACCCUCGGAUGCCGGUGGAUACUGUCGGGCUCGAGUACGGAAGAGGCGAGUGGAAUUCCUGGUGUAGCGGUGAAAUGCGCAGAUAUCAGGAGGAACACCUAUUGCGAAGGCAGCUCGCUGGGACGUUACUGACGCUGAGGCGCGAAAGCGUGGGGAGCGAACAGG
rnacentral:rRNA from 1 species